AUGAGCGCGAUAGGGG
rnacentral:rRNA from 1 species